rnacentral:snRNA from 1 species
AUACUUACCUGGCAGGGGAGAUACCAUGAUCACGAAGGUGAUUUUCCCGGCGUGAGGCUCAUCCCAUUGCACUGCGGGUGUGCUGACUCCUGCAAUUUCCCCAAAGGCAGGAAACUUGACUGCAUAAUUUGUUAAACUCCCUUCUUAACUUUCAUGCCUUGCAAGGUG